AGCGAACGCUGGCGGCAGGCCUAACACAUGCAAGUCGAACGCCCCGCAAGGGGAGUGGCGCACGGGUGAGUAACGCGUGGGAAUAUGCCCUUCGGUUCGGAAUAACACAGGGAAACUUGUGCUAAUACCGGAUACGAUCUACGGAUGAAAGAUUUAUCGCCGAGGGAGUAGCCCGCGUAGGAUUAGCUAGUUGGUGAGGUAAUGGCUCACCAAGGCGACGAUCCUUAGCUGGUCUGAGAGGAUGAUCAGCCACACUGGGACUGAGACAUGGCCCAGACUCCUACGGGAGGCAGCAGUGGGGAAUAUUGGACAAUGGGCGAAAGCCUGAUCCAGCCGUGCCGCGUGAGUGAUGAAGGCCUUAGGGUUGUAAAGCUCUUUCGCCAGGGAAGAUAAUGACGGUACCAGGAAAAGAAGCCUCGGCUAACUCCGUGCCAGCAGCCGCCGUAA
rnacentral:rRNA from 1 species